rnacentral:rRNA from 1 species
AAGUCGUAACAAGGUUUCCGUAGGUGAACCUGCGGAAGGAUCAUUACCGAGUCUAGGGGGCCGUUGGCCCCUGAACCUCCAACCCUUGACUGAAACUACCGCGUUGCUUUGGUGGGCCCGCCCUGAAAACGGGCUGCCGGAGGCGUCACUGCCUCGGGCCUGCGCCUGCCAGUAGCCAUAAUCAACCCUUUUUCAACCGUGACGUCUGAGUGUAAAUACAAAAUAUAAGUAAAACUUUCAACAACGGAUCUCUUGGUUCUGGCAUCGAUGAAGAACGCAGCGAAAUGCGAUAAGUAAUGCGAAUUGCAGAGUUUUUGUGAGUCAUCGAAUCUUUGAACGCAUAUUGCGCCCUCUGGUAUUCCGGAGGGCAUGCCUGUCCGAGCGUCAUUAUCAACCCUCAAGCCCUGCUUGCUGUUGGACCCCUCGACGAAAGUUGACGGCCCCAAAGAUAACGACGGUGUUGUGGCAACCCCUAGACGCAAUGAGCUUUAACACGCACGCGUCACGGCGGUGUCGCAACCCAGUCUUCAAACAAUUAUUCCAAGGUUUGACCUCGGAUCAGGUAGGAAUACCCGCUGAACUUAA